GCUCUCUGCUCUUCAGCCACCGUGCAAGACAAUUUCAGCCAUAGAACCUAUGGACACUGCCCUUUGGGCAAAGGACACAGAGGGAGCUGUCAUGCAUAAAGUUAUCAGCACUCAAGAUGAAAAACGGAAGCCCUUCCUCGAGGCAGUCCACCUGCCUGGCAAACAGUUGUUUUUUUAAGUAGAACUAUUUAGGAGCACCUAUGGGUUAGAUAUGGGUUGGGGUAAAAGCCCACAGCUAUGGGGAGAGUAUCUGCUCUCCUCCACCACCCAUGACCAUCCGCAGGAGUUAGGUGCCAGAAUGGGAAUUGCGGGCGAGCGGGGACUUUGUUGUGCUCGAGAUGGAGCCUCCAGCACCGAGGACAGUGGCGGAUGCACAGUCGGGGCAGUAAACCUCUGCGCAGGUUUUCUCUUGGCAUCAGAAAGUCGCUUAUUCCAGGUGAGAAGUACAGUUGCAGUUUUAGUCUUGAACAUCAGCUUGGCUGAUGCUUGCCGAGGAAAAGACACACUACAGGGGCUCCAUCCUGGAAGCCAUAACUCUUCCCUGUGGAGAUGCAGCAGCCCAGAUCUAAAUCAGGAGAGAGCAUCUAGCCAAAAAGGCUGUGAGCACUAG
rnacentral:lncRNA from 1 species